UACAGAGGUCUCAAGCGUUGUUCGGAUUCAUUGGGCGUAAAGGGCGCGUAGGCUGCGGGGCAAGUCGGGUGUGAAAUCUCAGAGCUCAACUCUGAAACUGCACUCGAUACUGCUUUGCUUGAGGACUGGAGAGGAGAUUGGAAUUUACGGUGUAGCGGUGAAAUGCGUAGAUAUCGUAAGGAAGACCAGUGGCGAAGGCGGGUCUCUGGACAGUUCCUGACGCUGAGGCACGAAGGCCAGGGGAGCAAACGGG
rnacentral:rRNA from 1 species